CUUUUUUUGGGGGGGUGGUGUGGGGGAGGAAUAUUAGUCUGUCAUUUCCUAUGUGGCUGGUGCCCUGACAUUUGGAGGAUUUGUUGGUCUUGGGUAGUGGUAGUUCAACUUUUGCUUACUGUAGGUGGUAAUAAGGAAGAGGACCCUGGGGGUGGCCAAAAAAGGGAGGGUGGUGUGCUGGCGUUGUCUUUCUGUUCAUCCGCUUGAGGGGACUUCAGUUUAGUCCUCUUUUUUGCCCUCGUUUUCCCAUUUACUUUAUAGUCAGUCUCUGCUGUUGCCAAAAUGCCCUUUGUCCUUUCCUACCGAGUUUACUAGCAACCCCCCACCCCCCAUGUACAAACAUCCACAAAGGGUGGAACACGUCAGGCAGAUGGAUAGUUUCCCACUUUAGGGAGACAAGAUUAAAAGCUUUUCCUUAGGUGGUUGUUAGCUCCAGCAAAUGGGGUCGUCCCACAGAUGAGCCGCAUCCGAGGUGACAGGGUUUCUCGUGGUGGAGUGGUUCCUUAGGCAGCCACUAUAUAGACAUUGUUUCUAUUGUUUUCCAUGAAUUAUUCCUGAGUUCAGUACUUGGAGAUACUGAGUUGUUUUUUUUUUUUUUUUGUCUUGAUUUGACUGAAGCGUUUUUUGUUUGUUUGUUUGUUUGUUUUGGGAGGGUAGAAUCCCUGAGUGAAGAUGGAGUAGGGGUAGAGACAGAGGAAAUGGGUGUUUAGGAACCCAUUUAUUUUUUUAUUUUAUUUUAUUUUAUUUUUUUUUUUUUUUGGUUCUUUUUUUCGGAGCUGGGGACCGAACCCAGGGCCUUGCGCUUCCUAGGUAAGCACUCUACCACUGAGCUAAAUCCCCAGCCCCAGGAACCCAUUUAUUAUUUUAUUUCCAAAAUUAGGUAAAAUAGGCCAAUGAGUCAAUUUUAGUUUGUUUUGAAGGGAGGGGUUAUCUUGGCACAAGUUUUAAACGAAUAUCUUAGUCAUGUAGUUGUGAUGUGUAUUUUUAGGACUACCCAAUUACUUAACUCUUAUUUUCUACCGUUCAAAAGCCUCAAGUUUCAGGCUUUAAACUGGGUCAACUUUGUUGAAAAUAGGAUUGAUAGGGAAUGCUUAACAUUCGUGCAUGUGAUAGUUGCUGAAUACUUAGUAAAAGGACAUUUUUAGAGUGUUAUGUAAGAGUGUGGUAUCCUUACCAACUGUUUGCUUCAUCUUUUGUGGUCAGCAUGCAGCUAUGCUUUUUAGAUGCAGGUGCUUAAAGUGACUAAGUGAAGGUUCAAGUUUAUUCGUGAAAGAUUGGAAGGUAUUGUUCCAUGUUGAGGUGUGUUAUAUGCACUGUCAGAUACAAGUUUUAAUUUGUAGAUAUUGGGAAUAUUGCACAAAGUGGAGUUCAUGAGACAUUUCCUAGAAAACAUCUUCAAAGCAGACUACUGAUUAAUUUUAAAGAAUACAGUUGUUUAUUUGUUUUUUGCUUUUUUUUUUUUCUUUCGACAGGGUUUCUCUUUGUAACCCUGGCUGACCUGGACCUUGUUCUGUAGACCAGGCUGGCCUUGAACUCACAUAGAUCACCCUAUCACCCUGCCCCUGCCUUCCAAAUUCUGGGAUUAAAGUGCCACUGGGCUUAAGGAUACAGUUUAAUUUCCAAAAAGUAGUAUUUCUGGAACAAUUGAUAGUUAAGUAAAUGGUAGUUAAUCUCCUAUUGGAAUUUGUUUUUAAAAAGCUUUGAAGGUAAGACUUCCCUUUGCUAAUGAUUUGGAAUUGAUAAAAUGGGAAUAUUCCUUGUAGCAUAUACUAAUUUAAGGUAAAGCCAGGCAGUGGUGGCUCACAUCUCUAAUCUCAGCACUCUGGAGGCAAAAGCAAUUGGAUCUUUGAGUUUGAGGCCAGCCUGGUCUACAGAGCCAGUUCCAGAAUAGCCAGGGCUACACAGAGAGACCCUGUUUCAAACAGCAGCAGCAGCAGCAGCAGCAGCAGCAGCAACAAUAAUAAAAUACUUUGGGCUAGGACUGUAGGUUAGAGGCAGAAUAUCUGCCUAGCUUGCAUGAUGCUCUGUUUUUUAAACUCCAGCAACACACAUACAACAAAAUAAACAAAUUAUAACUUUAGUCCUUCUGAAAGGGUUGACUUUGGGGAGCAGGGGUGUACCUCAGUUGUCCAGGGCUUGUCUAGCAUGGUUAAAACCUUGGUUUCCAUCUGCAGUACUGCCCAGACCCAGAGGUAUCCCUGAAAUCUGAGCAGUCAGGAAGCAAAGGCAGGAGAGGUUAUGCAAGCAAUCUGAGGACAGCCUAUUCUACACAAGUCUACAAACAACCAUAAAAGAUGAUAAAAGCCUCAAGAGUGCCACUUAAAGCUGAGGAUAUGUAUCUCAACUGGACUUAAAGACCAAGCAGUCUACGUUUUAUUGACCCUUUGAAUUUUAUUGUCUGUGCUCUGUUCAGAAUUAAAAGAUUCACAGAGAAGUGUAAAGAAUGUUUGUUGGAGUCACAAUUUGUUUUUUUAAAGAUUUAUUUAUUUUUAUUUAUAUGAAUACACUGUAGCUGUCUUCAGACACACCAGAAGAGGGCAUCAGAUCCCAUUACAGAUGGUUGUGAGCCAUCAUGUAGUUGCUAGGAAUUGAACUCAGGACCUCUGGAAGAGUAGUCAGUGCUCUUAACCACUGAGCCAUCUCUCCAGCCCUAAGUUUUUUUUUUUUUUGAGCUGGGGACUGAAUCCAGGGCCUUGCGCUUGCUAGGCAAGCGCUCUACCACUGAGCUAAAUCCCCAACCCCCCAGCCCUAAGUUUUUAAAAAAUGUUUAUUUUUUUUGUGUGUAUGCUGAAAUUACUGGCUUUAAAAUGGUAUCUUGAGCCAGGUGUAGAGGUAUAUCCUUAUAUUCUGGUCCUGAGGCAGGAGGUUUUGGAGUUCAAGGUGAGCUUGAGGAACAUACUUUCCUUCAAACAAACUUCUCAGCAGCAUAAUAGAUGUGGUUGAAAGUGUGAGCACUGAUGCCUGGGGGUGGUGGGUGCUGGGGAGGCAGAGGCAGAGGGCUUCUAGUUCAAGGCCUCUGCUUCCUAAACUCUGGGGUUAAAGGCAUGUGAUACCACUGCUGCCUUGCUUGAGUUACACUUUUUCAGUUUAAAUAAUACAUAUACAUGUUAAAAGUUUUAUAUACUUAACUUUCCUGUCACUCCUUUCCACAUUUCUGGCCUAAUUUUCAGAAAGUUUUUGUUACUGUCAUUUGCAAAUAAAAUGUAUUAACAAAUGUAUUCAUGCCAUAUAGUUCUCAAAGGCUUUUGUCUAUUCUAGUUUUUGGGUUUUUUUUGUUUUUGUUUUUGUUUUUUUCUGGUGAGUGCCAUCAUAAUUCUGGAGUAUAUCUAUACUUGUGUUUUUGUCAUUAAAAUCUCUUUUGUUGGGGUUGGGGAUUUAGCUCAGUGGUAGAGCGCUUGCCUAGCAAGUGCAAGGCCCUGGGUUCGGUCCUCAGCUCUGAAAAAAAAAAAAGAAAAAAGAAAAAAAAUCUCUUUUGUUGUGGGAGAUGAUCAUGAAAUGCCAUCUACUUCAACCAUGCCUUAUAACCUUCCACUUUGUCAUUUGUUUUCUUAAAAAGUUAUUAGUGUGUGCAUGUGUGCAUGUUUUGAAAAGAGUAUGUGCGGGUUGGGGAUUUAGCUCAGCGGUAGAGCGCUUGCCUAGAGAGCGCAAAGCCCUGGGUUCGGUCCCCAGCUCCGGGGGGGAAAAAAAAAAAGAGUAUGUGCAAGGUGUAGGAGUGUACAUACAUGCCAUGGUGUGUGUGGGGGGCACAGAGGUCAGUCUUCUCCUUAUCUCAUGAGCAUGUCACCCUCUGAUCCACUUCCCCAGCUCCCUCUAAUUAAAACAUUUAAGUUUCUUUAAAAAAUGUUCACGUGUGUGUGCACAUGCAUGUACGUGCCUGUGCGUGCCUGUGUAGGUUACAGGACAUUGGGUCUGACCCUAAGGAAUAAGCUACCUUCUUUGAGACAGAGCUCCUUGCUUUAGAGCUCACCAGUUAGGGUACCACAUGUCCCAGGGAUCUUCUGUCUCCGUCUCAUUGUCUCCUUGCUGUGGGGCUACAAGCACAUGUCACAGCUCCUGGCUGAUAGUGUGUGUGUGUGUGUGUGUGUGUGUGUGUGUGUGUGUGUGUGUGUAUAUGUGUGUGUGCUGGGGCUCAAACUCGGGUCCUUGUGCGUGGCACUUCACUGUCUGAGCCAUCCUCUCAUCCACCUCCCUCACAUUUCCAAACGUGUGUGUGUGUGUGUGUGUGUGUGUGUGUGUGUGUGUGUAUUUGUGGAGGUCAGGGUACAACUUACAGAAGUAGGUUCUCUCCUUCCAUGGUAUGUGUACUAGGGAUUGAGCUCAGACUAUUGAUUGGGCUUGGGCUGGGUGGCCAGUACUAAGCUUUCUUGCCAGCACAGAGGGUAUGGUUGCUUUAUUUUAAAGAUUUAUUUAUUUUUAUGUGUAUGAGCAUUUUGUUUGCCUGUGUACCUCCUGUGCGCUUGAUGCCAAAAGAGGUCAGAUUCCCUGGCCCUGGAGUUAUUGGUGGUUGUGAAGUUUGGGAAACAAAAUUGCAUCCUCUGUAAGAGCAAAUACUCUUAAUGGAUGAACUAGCUUUCAUUCUCUCCACUGGUAAGGCUAAAAGUGAUACAUGUUUGCAGUUUAACUAGUAAAAUGCUUUAAAAAAAAAAAGAUUUGAUUUGGAAAGAUGGUUCAGUGGUUCAGCAGUUAACAACACUGAAUAUUCUUCCAGAAGGUCUGAGUUCAGUUCCCAGCAACCACAUGGUGGCUCACAACCAUCUGUAAUGGGAUCUGAUGUUCUCUCCUGGUGUGUCUGAAGACAUUGAUGGAGUACUUAGUUUUUUUUGUUUUUUUUUUUUUUUGGUUCUUUUUUUUGGGGGGUGGGGACCGAACCCAGGGCCUUGCGCUUCCUAGGCAAGCGCCCUACCACUGAGCUAAAUCCCCAGCCCCGAUGGAGUACUUAUAUACAUAAAAUAAAUCUUUAAAAAAAAAAGAUGGGGUUGGGGAUUUAGCUCAGUGGUAGAGCGCUUGCCUAGGAAGUGCAAGGCCCUGGGUUCGGUCCCCAGCUCCGAAAAAAAGAAAAAAGAAAAAAAAAAUGAUGUCAAUUUGUCUUUUAAUUCCAGUGCUGGGGAGGCAGAGGCAGGCAAAUGAACAAAACCACAUAAAACUCCAUAUUAUUUUUAUAUAGAGUUGUCCCCCAAUUUCCCCUUGAUUCUUUUGGAGACAGAGUCUCUCUGUGUAGCCCUGGCUGUUCAGGAACUCACUUGGAACAGGCUGGCCUCCCUUCAGUGCUGGGGCUAAAAGCAUACACCACCAUGCUCAAAUCCCUUUUGGUAGUUCAAAUUUGUUUAAGACAGGGUAUUUCUAUGUAGCCUUGCGAUUCGUAAACUCACUUUGUAGAUGAGGUUGGCCUUGAACUCAACAGAGAUCUGCCUGCUUCUGCCUCCCAAGUGCUGUACCACCACCACCUGGGGUACAUCCUCUUUGUCUUUAUAGACACACCCGGGAAUGGAUUUUUCUCAGCCUUCAGAAUAGGAAAAAAAUUCCUCUAAAAGCUAUUUAGUUUCUGGUACUUUUGUUACAUCAGCUAAAAAAGACUUAUAAUAUACUAGAAAUAUUAUAAAUGAAAACAGCUUUCACUUAUGAUGUCCUAUUGUAUUGUCCCCUGGAGCUGGAAUUACAGGCAGUUGUGAGUUGUCAUGGCUACUUGGAACCAAACUUCCGUCUUCUGAGAGAGCAGCAAAUGCUCUUAACCAGGGAGCCACCUCUUCAACUCCAUUAAGCAUAUUUUCAAAGAAAAUAUAGAACUCUGUAGAUCUGGCUGGCAUGCCUUGAACUCAGAGAUCCUGCCUCCCAAGUGCUGGGGUUGAAGAUGUGAACCACCACUGCCUGGCUUAAAGAUACACAGCAAGUUUUUUUUUUUUUUUUAAAGAUUUAUUCAUUUAUUAUAUAUAAGUACACUGUUACUGACCUCAGACACACCAGAAGAGGGCGUUAGAUCCCAUUACAGAUGGUUGUGAGCCACCAUGUGGUUGCUGGGAUUUGAACUCAGGACCUCUGGAAGAGCAGUCGGGUGAUCUUAACCGCUGAGCCAUCUCUCCAGCCCCACACGGCAAGUUUUGAUAGCAAGCUUGUCCUGUUGGAGUAAGUGCUGCAACAAAUUAAAAAUUAGUGUAGGGGAAGCUAUGGGGACAGUGAGAUGGUUCAGCAUGUGAGUGUAAUGGCCUCCUAAUCUGACAGCCUGGAGUUGGUUCCCCAAACUGCCUUCUAAUUCCGAAGUGUGCUGUGGCACUUAUUCUCCCAAGUGCACACACACUGUGUGUGUGUGUGUGUGUGUGUGUAAGUGUGUGUAAAAGAAAUUUUCUUUAGACUAAAGGAGAAUGCCUUAUUUUAAUAGUUGGAAGGAAAGAUCUAUGGGGUAGAGAAUUUGAUCAAACACAAAAGAAUAAUAUUUUUGACACAUGAACAUUAUAUGAAAUUUAAGUUUCAGUGUCCAUAAAAAAUUUGCUAGAGCUUUGCAUUUAUUAAUUCUCCAAUGGCAAAGUUGAGUGGUUUCCACAGCAGACAUAUGGUGGUCUCUUCAUGCUGCCAUAUGGUAUAUUACAAAUCCCAGUAAUGGAGUCAGCUGUGCUGGAUCACACCUGUCAUUCAAGCACCCCAGAGGCAGAGGCAGGAGGGUGACCACAGUUGAGGACAACUUAGUCUAUGUAAUGAGUUCUAGUCCCACCAUGGCUUUGCAAUGAGAACCCUGUCCCAAAGAAAGGAAAAACGAUAUUGAUGGAGUGGUGGUUGUGUUGCUGGUAUUGACUGGCAUGUAUAUUUGCUGUAUUUGGCAUUUUAAAUUUUUAUUUUAAUCAUUUCUUAACCCAUUGGUGGCUCAUGCUCAUAAUCUUAACACUAAGGAAGUUGGAGCAGAAGAAUUGCCACAGGGUGAGGCUAGACCAGCUAGAGUGAGAUCCUCUCUCAAACCAAAAAGAGGGAAAAAUGAAAAGACAAAAGUUGAUUUCAAAUGGCAGACUCCAGGCACAAUGGAGGAUGUUGUCAUCAAAUUAAGUGGCAAAGCAUUGUUUUUGUUACACCAUCACAGUGUAACUAUGUGAGAGGAAUAGACAUUAUCAGAUUAUAUUCCUCAUAAAAGUCUUGACUCACAGGCAAGUGGUUUUUUAAAAAAAUCUAGAAAAUUGAGAUCAAAUAUCUCCUAAAAAUCUCUUUAUGAAAUUAAAAGUGAGGGGGGCUUGAGAGAUGGCUCAAAGGCUAAGAGCACUGGCUGCUCUUCCAGAGGUCCUGAGUUCAAUUCCCAGCAACCACAUGGUGGCUCACAACCAUCUAUAAUGAGAUCUGGUGCUCAGUUCUGGCUUGCAGGCAGGCAGAAUGCUGUAUACAUAAUAAAUACGUUUUAAAAAAAAUUAAAAAUGAAAAUGAAGGGCUGGAGAGAUGGUUCAGCGGUUAAGAGCACUGGAUGUUCUUCCUGACAAUCCGGGUUCAGUCCCCAGCAACCUAUGUCUAACUCCAGUUCCAGGGGCUCUGGCACCCUCACACAGACACACAUGCAGGCAAAACACCAAUACCAUAAAAAAACAAAACUAAAACUGCAACUAGUUGGACAGCCAUUUACCAGUAGUGAAGUGUGAUUAGUGCUGAAUCCGACACUGGGAAGGUAAGCAUGUUUAGGAUGAUUAGCUUUCGAUGAGGACAGUCGCUGAGCAAGCUGAGGAUGGCGACAGCAGCAUCAGUCAAUUAAGAAAUGCAAGUGGGGGCUGGAGAAAUGGCUCAGUGGUUAAGAGCACUGACUGCUCUUCCAGAGGUCCUGAGUUCAAAUCCCAGCAACCACAUGGUGGCUCACAACCAUCUGUAAUGAGAUCUGAUGCCCUCUUCUGGUGUGUCUGAAGACAGCUACAGUGUACUUAUUAUAUAUAAUAAAUAAAUCUUUAAAAAAAAAAAAGAGGGCUGGAGAGAUGGCUCAGUGGUUAAGAGCACCCGACUGCUCUUCCAGAGGUCAUGAGUUCAAUUCCCAGCAACCACAUGGUGGCUCACAACCAUCUGUAAAGAGAUCCGAUUCCCUCUUCUGGUGUAUCUGAAGACAGCUACAGUGUACUUAUAUAUAAUAAAUGAAUAAAUCUUAAAAAAAAAGAAAAACAAAACAAAAAACAAAAAGAAGAAAUAAAUAAACUUUAAAAUAAUAAACUAUAAAAAAAAAGAAAUGCAAGUGAUUGUUCUCUCUGGCUGUAGAUGGGCGGGCAUGUGUUAUAUGCUAAAUCAUACUGCUCACUUUUUGUCUAUUUGACUAGUUGACAGAGUUUGAAGCUACUGAAGAUUUUUUUUUUUUUUUUUCCGGGGCUGGGGACCGAACCCAGGGCCUUGCGCUUCCUAGGCAAGCGCUCUACCACUGAGCUAAAUCCCCAACCCCGCUACUGAAGAUUUAUUUAGUUUGUGUAGGGGCUACAGAUGUAGCUCAGUUGGUUAGAGCGUUUGUCUGCCAUGCACAAAGCCUUUGAUCCCUAGCACUGAAUGAAAUAACCAGGCAUGGUGACGUGCAUGCUAUAAUCCCCAUACUCCUAGGUAGAGGCAAGGAGGAUCAGAAGUUCAAGGCCAGCCUGAACUGCAUGAGGCCAGAUCUCAAAACUGAAACCAAAAUAAAAAACUAAUUUGUGUGAAUGCUUGUUUUUGGAAGAACUCUGGUCAAGAAUUCAGGAGACAGAGACAGAGACAGGUACAGGGACAGGGAGAGGGAGAGAGAGGGAGAGGGAGAGAGGGAGAGAGGGAGGGAGAGAGAAAAGAAUUCAGUAGAACACCCAAGUGGAAUCUGCUAAGAUCCAUUAUACCUGAUGAUGGUAAAAAUGCAUAUGGAACAGAAAAAGGCAAAUUAACAAAAUGGUGAACCCAGGAAAUGUAGUAAAUGUUCAAGCUUAUGAUUAUUCACUAGCAGAUAGAGUUGGACUGGUUUUGAGAGCCAGUAGUCAUGAGGGGGAUUUCAUUCACUUUUGCAUAUUCCCAAAGAAUGUCCUGAGGUCCCUGCAUGUGGCAGUUGAGUGGGACGACAGUAGCUGAUGCCAUAGUUCAGGCUAGUAACUCAGUGCAUAGUCCAGAUAGAUUCAUGUGACUUAACUACCCACUUGCCUGAUUACAGAUAUGAGCUACUGUACCUAGUUAUUGUGAUUUUUAUUCUUAAAGCCCAGUGCCGAAACAUUUUUUCUCAAGGAGAAUUAUACAACCUAAAUGGCAUUGGAAAUUAACUUUUGCUGAGACUUUUUUUUUUUAAAGAUUUAUUCAUUUUAUUAUAUAUAAGUACACUGUAGCUGUCUUCAGAUACACCAGAAGAGGGCAUCUUUACAGAUGGUUGUGAGCCACCAUGUGGUUGCUGGGAAUUGAACUCAGGACCUCUGGAAGAGCAGUCGGGUGCUCUUAACCGCUGAGCCAUCUCUCCAGCCCCUUGCUGAGACUCCCCCCCCCCCCCCCCCCCCGGGAGCUGGGGACCGAACCCAGGGCCUUGCGCUUCCUAGGUAAGCGCUCUACCACUGAGCUAAAUCCCCAGCCCCUUUGCUGAGACUUUUUUAAAAAGUAUUUUGUGUGAGAGCCUCAGCUGUGCAUGCUUAACAGAUGGUUGUAAACUUGCAUUGGGGUAUGUGUCACAGUUUGUAUAUGCUCCUCCCAGGGAGUGGUACUGUUAGAGGGUGUGGCCCUGUUGGAGUAGGCGUGUCACUGUGGGAGUGGACUUUAAGAUCCUAUCUGCCUGGAAGCAGUAUUCUGCUAGCAGCCCAGAUAAAGAUGUAGAACCCUCAGCUCCUGCACCAUGCCUGCCUGGGUGCUGCCAUGCUCCUGCCUGGAUGAUAAAUGUUGUUCUUUAUAAGCUUGCCUUGGUCAUGGUGUCUGUUUACAGCAGUAAAACCCUAACCAAGACAGUAGGCAUUUGGAGGUAGAGGACACAUUUCCAUGGUUCCUGCCUUCUGCCUUGUCAGGGUUUCCUGUUUUUGCUGCUGUUGUUUAUAUAGCUAGCCAUGGCACCUGUGGCAGCCUUAGGACAAUCGUGAGUAUUGUUCCAGUUGCUGUCCACUUGUUUUAUUUAUUUUUAUUAGAUAUAAGAGGGAAAGAAUGGGUUGGUUCUUAGAAGCCAACACAGAAUUAUCUUUCAAGAAAUAAGGUCUGUUAGGAGAAAGGGCCUCAAGGGGAAAGCAUUAGAAAGAAGAGGCAUAUGGGCCUGGCAUUACAUGCCUUUAACCCUAGAAGAAGCAGGUGGUUCUCUGUGAGGUCAAGGCUAGUCUGGUCUAUAUGAUGAGUUCCAGGACAGCUAGAGCUACAUGAUAAACCAUGUCAGAAAGAUGAGGCAUAAAAGGUAUAAUGUUAAUGUUAUAAUUGACAUAAUUCCAAAAAGGGAAGGAGAAACUUUUUUUUAAAGAUUUAUUUAUUUUAUGUACAUGAGUAUACCAUAGCUGUCUUCAGACACACCAGAAGAGGGCAUCAGAUCCCAUUACAGAUGGUUGUGAGCCACCAUGUGGUUGCUGGGAAUUGAACUCAGGACCUCUGGAAGAGCAGUCAGUGCUCUCAACCGCUGAGCCACCUCUCCAGCCCAAGACGCUUUUCUUUAAAACUUGCAUCUAGUGACAUACCUCCUCUUGCCCCCUUCAAGACACGGUUCUCUGUCUAUCCCUGGAUGUCCUGGAAUUCACUUUGUAGAUGAGGCUGGCCUAAAAAUCACAAGGAUCCACCUUCUUCUCCUUCUAGUUAGUGAUGAACAUUUAAUGCUAGCACUUGAGAGGCAGAGGCAGGCAGAUCUCUUGAGUUUGAGGCCAGCCUGGUGUACUGAGUGAAUUCCAGGACAGUCAGGACUAUAGAGAGAAACUCUGUCUUGAAAGACCAAAAAAAAAAAAAAAAAAAAAAAAAAAAAAAAAAAAAAAAAUUAAGUAAACAAAA